rnacentral:rRNA from 1 species
CCCGGGGCUCAACCUGGGAACUGCGUUNUGAACUGGGUGACUAGAGUGUGUCAGAGGGAGGUAGAACUCCACGUGUAGCAGUGAAAUGCGUAGAGAUGUGGAGGAAUACCGAUGGCGAAGGCAGCCUCCUGGGAUAACACUGAUGUUCAUGCCCGAAAGCGUGGGUAGCAAACAGGAUUAGAUACCCUGGUAGUCCACGCCCUAAACGAUGUCGAUUAGCUGUUGGGCAGCAUGACUGCUUAGUAGCGAAGCUAACGCGUGAAAUCGACCGCCUGGGGAGUACGGUCGCAAGAUUAAAACUCAAAGGAAUUGACGGGGACCCGCACAAGCGGUGGAUGAUGUGGAUUAAUUCGAUGCAACGCGAAGAACCUUACCUGGUCUUGACAUGUACGGAACCCUCCAGAGACGGAGGGGUGCCUUCGGGAGCCGUAACACAGGUGCUGCAUGGCUGUCGUCAGCUCGUGUCGUGAGAUGUUGGGUUAAGUCCCGCAACGAGCGCAACCCUUGUCAUUAGUUGCCAUCAUUAAGUUGGGCACUCUAAUGAGACUGCCGGUGACAAGCCGGAGGAAGGUGGGGAUGACGUCAAGUCCUCAUGGCCCUUAUGACCAGGGCUUCACACGUCAUACAAUGGUCGGUACAGAGGGUAGCCAAGCCGCGAGGUGGAGCCAAUCUCACAAAACCGAUCGUAGUCCGGAUUGCACUCUGCAACUCGAGUGCAUGAAGUCGGAAUCGCUAGUAAUCGCAGGUCAGCAUACUGCGGUGAAUACGUUCCCGGGUCUUGUACACACCGCCCGUCACACCAUGGGAGUGGGGGAUACCAGAAGUAGGUAGGGUAACCGCAAGGAGCCCGCUUNC